rnacentral:misc_RNA from 1 species
AACCUUAUGGACCUGCGGGCGUAUACCUGCGGAAGGAUCAUUACCUAGAGUUUGCAGACUUCGGUCUGCUACCUCUUACCCAUGUCUUUUGAGUACCUUCGUUUCCUCGGCGGGUCCGCCCGCCGGUUGGACAACAUUCAAACCCUUUGCAGUUGCAAUCAGCGUCUGAAAAAACAUAAUAGUUACAACUUUUAACAAUGGAUCU